AAAUAUAUUUUUAUAUCUGCCCAUAUGCAUAUGCAUGCAUGCAUACCCAGACAUGUGUAUACACACAUUUACAUACCUGGAAGGAUGUUCCCGAUGUGUUAAAUGGAAAGAGCUAGUUGAAGGGUAGAAUAAAUGAUAUGAUAACGUUUUUGUUUCUAGAGAAGGGAAAGAUACUCUAUAUGAACAUAUAUUUAUAUUGUUGUUGGAAAAAUUUAAAAGUUGUGGGAAAAUCCCCACAAACUGCCAUCAUUGGCUCACUUGGGAAAGUAGAGGUGGAAAGGCAGUGAGCUAUGAUUAGUUUAUAUACCUUGGUGUUAUUUCAGUUUUACAACAAACAUAUAUUACUUUUUGUAAUAUAGGAAACUAUAGGUUUGUAACUAGGAAAAUAUAUAUAAAUUUCAAGAGGACAGAUUUCAGAUUAAUAUGAAUAAUUUUCUAAUAGGCAGGAUUAUUUGGAUUUAGCGAGGGCUCUUCAAGGGGUCACUAGUCUUUCUUAAUUGUGAGCGGUCAAGCAUAAGUUAGAUGAGGACAGUGUUAGGAAGGAGAUUCUGGUAUAAGAUGCAAAGUUGGACAAUGUAGCCUCAUUGGUCUUUUUAAAUUAUGACAUGCCAGGCUUCUACAAAGUCCACAUUUCAAGGCGUUUCUGCGUUUGGCCAAAUGAGAUGCUAGACUCUCAUUUCAAUGCAUUUUUGCGUCUUUAUUUACUUCAAAUUAGUAAGAAAUGUUGAAACCUAGAGUCAUCCUAAACUAUUUCUUUAGCUCUGAUCCCCCCUCAAGCAGCAAACAAAAUUACAACACAAUGUUGUAAGUGCUAUUCUGAAGAUGUGCUUUGCAAGGUGACUCUAAGCCAGCCUAGAAGUGGAGGGAUCAAGGAAGGGUUGCUGGAAGAGGUGACACCUGAGCUGAGUCUUAAAGGAUGUUUUCUCAAGGCUCACCUCCUCUGCAGAGUGCAGACCUCCACGUCGCUGCACUUUGCACACGUCUCCAUGAUCGCUUGCAUUGCACUAAUUGUCUUUGAUAUGUAUCUUCCUUCCUAGUUUCUAAAUUGCUAGGGAGAAACUAUGAGUUUUAUUUAUCAUUACACCUCAGCCAUGACUGCAUGACUAGCAGAACAUUCAAUAAAUAUUUAUAGAAUCGAUUGGUUUUCAUUUUAGUUCAUAACUCACAGACGUAGUGAAGGACAUCCAUUCUUAUGAAUUCUCAUGAUGAACAUUAAUUCACAGCACAGUUCUGCAUCUGCUUUUGAGUUUGUUGUUGUUGUUGUUGUUGUUGUUGUUUUGAGACAGAGUCUCACUGUCACCCAGGUUUGAGUGCCAUGGCACGAUCUUGGCUCACUGUAACCUCCACCUCCCGGGUUCAAGCGAUUCUCCUGCCUCAGACCCAAGUAGCUGAGAUUGCAGACGUGCGCCACCAAGCUCGGUUAAGUUUUGUAUUUUUAGUAGAGACAGGGUCUCACUAUGUUGGCCAGGCUGGUCUCAAACUCCUGACCUCAGGUGAUCGGCCCGCCUCGGCCUCCCAAAGUGCUGGGAUUACAGGCAUGAGCCAAUACGCCCGGCCUAUUUUUGAGAUUUUCUGCUGCUACUCCAGCUUAGCCUGACAGAGCUUUCACUUUUUGUUCCUACCCCUUCGUGUGCAUCUGAACAAUCCACAAGCCUCACGAACUCCUGUGGCUUCCCUCCCUUCGAGCUGUAUCCACCAUGACCUCUUGACCAGGGCUGAGGGAGAAGGAGGAGGGUCGUGCCACUAUCCUAGCACCCUCUGUCAAGAGCCACAGUCAUCAGAACCAUGGAGUGACUGACUGGAGAGAAGCAGCAAGAGACGGCCAGACAAAACAUCUUAAUGGGAUACUUAGUCUCUUUGUUUCAUUCAAGAGGGAUCUACCAAAAGGGAUCACCUCCUACAAAUGCUAAAUGGGUUUAAGGUUUAUACAGCAGCUCAUGUGGGUUCAGGGAUGCACAGGCAUUUCCCAACGUGUCAUCAUCCCUGGUUCUGAUAAAAUCCAGAGUGGGGCCUGUAAAUCAGAGGGCUUCACCCCUGAACCCACAGCAGCACCACCAAGACACAGUGUCCCCACUGUGCACAAGAUUACAGCUUCUCUCUUGCUGCCCUUUCAAUAUACCAGUCCUUACUCAAGCACACAAAAACUGUGCUUUUGCCCCUGGCAUUUGAGAAGUUUGUGAAUAGACACCAGCACUUGGAUAUUGAUUUUUCACACGAUGGUGACUUUUAAAUUCCUCUAUUGCUCCUGACUGAGUUUAGCAACCUCUUGACUAUUCUGGAAAACCAAAGAACUUCGGAAACAAUCAAACAAAUAUUAAAUUCAAUCACCCAGCAACACUGGGGAGGCAAAUGAAAUUUUACUCCUAAGAAUCUAAAGCCCCCAUAGUAAAUAUUUCUUUGCUGGCUGGCAAAUGAAUGUUUCUCAGCCCUUCUCAUGUCUGGAGACACCAAGUAAUGGGACAGCUCUUAAGCUGUCCCCAUGGUUUGUGACCAAGACUGGGGGCUACUUUGGCCUUCGUGGAAGUCCAGCACACUUCAACUGAGCUGCCAGUGGUGCCGAAUCCUGGAAAAUGCUGAGAGCCCUAAAAGUGGAUCAAGGAAAGGCUGUCAGUGCAUCAUCUCCCCCAGUCCUUGGCAAAGCCAGGGAGCAGGGUCCUGAUCCCCCAGAUUCCAGCUCUUCCUAAUGUUUCUCAGGAAAGAAGACUGCCCUGCUGCUGAUGGCCCAGGAGCCUGCCCAGAAAGCUCUGGGUAAAAAGCAAGAUGAAAAGAGUCCUCCAGUCUCCCCUCACCAAUGCCCUGCAGCUCACCACACCUUUCCUGUCCUGUAUACUUGUCUAGGAAUGACAUCCCCAGAAGAGAUCAGGCAUGGUACCACAGUGUGUUGAUGGGGAAAGGCAGAAAGGGAUCACUUUGGAAUAUGAAAUCAAUCAAGAGAGGGUAGUUCCUAGGGAACAGCCUAAUGACCCCAAGACUGAAACGAAGACCUAGGUGGUGGGAAAGCAAUGAAGAGAAAAGCUUCUAGAGACAUAAUCCAUGAAGACCUUGGUGAAGUCCCACCUAUUAAUACAAAAGGUGCCAAGUCCCAGAAUUGUCAGAGUGCAGCAGGGGCACAAUGAAAGCCUUGUGGGAAUGAAUUGGCUGGUGGCCUAGGAUGUGCCAUCAGAAACUAUUCCUGUUUUCCAUGCUGUAUGCCAAUAGCACUGAGCAGAGUCCCUUUAAGGCAAAACAAUGGUUAGGCCAUAUUACUCAUUUAACUGAAGGGCUAAGUAUGUAGAUGGGGUUUUUAGACAUUAUGAAAAGUUGACUGUGGUGGAAUUUGAACUGCAUUUAGCCUUUCAUUCGGCUUCUAUGAACUUUCCUAGUUGUACGGCACCCUGAAGCUGUGUUAUCAAGAUUCACCAUCAUUUGAUCUUGGUUGCUUGUGGUCUUAGUGGCUUGGGUUUCCUGUCAAAGGCAUUCCUGGUAAAUUAUUCCAAGGGAAAGAAGAAUAUCCAGUUCACUGAUG
rnacentral:lncRNA from 1 species